rnacentral:rRNA from 1 species
UACGUAGGGGGCAAGCGUUGUCCGGAAUCAUUGGGCGUAAAGAGCGCGUAGGCGGCCCGAUAAGUCCGCUGUGAAAGUCCAGGGCUCAACCCUGGGAUGCCGGUGGAUACUGUCGGGCUCGAGUCCGGAAGAGGAGUGUGGAAUUCCUGGUGUAGCGGUGAAAUGCGCAGAUAUCAGGAGGAACACCAAUGGCGAAGGCAGCACUCUGGGACGUGACUGACGCUGAGACGCGAAAGCGUGGGGAGCAAACAGG